CGGUGAGUAAAGUGGCGUACGGGUGAGUAACACGUGGAUCAUCUACCCUGGAGUGGGGAAUAACGCUGGGAAACCGGCGCUAAUACCGCAUAAUCCCGAGAGGGCAAAGGAGCAAUUCGCUUCAGGAGGAGUCCGCGGCCGAUUAGCUAGUUGGCAGGGUAAAAGCCUACCAAGGCAACGAUCGGUAGCCGGCCUGAGAGGGCACACGGCCACACUGGCACUGAAACACGGGCCAG
rnacentral:rRNA from 1 species